AUACGGAGGAUGCAAGCGUUAUCCGGAUUUAUUGGGUUUAAAGGGUGCGUAGGCGGAUGAUUAAGCGUGAGGUGAAAUGCCACUGCUCAACAGUGGAACUGCCUCGCGAACUGGUUGUCUUGAAUGCUCCUGCCGUGGGAGGAAUGUGUGGUGUAGCGGUGAAAUGCAUAGAGAUCACACAGAACACCGAUUGCGAAGGCAUCUCACGAAGGGGUGAUUGACGCUGAGGCACGAAAGCGUGGGGAUCAAACAGGAUUAGAUACCCUGGUAGUCCACGGAGUAAACGAUGAUAACUCACCGCUGGGUCGUAGUGAUUCAGUGGCCAAGCGAAAGCGAUAAGUUAUCCACCUGGGGAGUACGACCGCAAGGUUGAAACUCAAAGGAAUUGACGGGG
rnacentral:rRNA from 1 species